GGCACAUCAAGAAGUUCAUUAUUUUAAUGUAUUAAAAACAUGAUAUAUAAAUAACUUUAUAUAGAAGAGAAAAAUAAAAAAAAUAAAACAUAACUAAGUCAAAUACAAAUACAAAUUUGUAACUAUUACAAUCAAAUUCAAUUUCCGAAAAAUCUAUACUAAUAAUAUAUUAAUAUGAAAUUGAGUUUAAGAAAAAUAUAUGCUAAUAAUCUAUAUGGUUAUGGCCUGCAAAGUUUUCCUUCAAACCCAAUAUUGUACUCUCUGACUUCUCAUGGAUGAUGACGAUUAUAAUUAUGGUCUCGUGGAUCAUCUGCUCUCAGAAGCCGUCCAUCUUAAUGGUUCCAAAAACAAAAUAUUAAAACUUACUCAUCACUAAUCAAAAUUAUUAUACUAAUUAUACAUAAUUUUAAACUUAAACAAAAUAAAAGAACUUUGAAGAGAGUGUUAUUAGGAGGAGGUUCCCUACACACAUAAAACUCCAUGGUAAGACAUUGUUCGCUUUAGACUAAGCUGUCAUGAAUUUGUUUUUGGUACCAAAAACAAAACUGUGAGAACUUGACCUAAAACGGACAAUGUCUUACCAUGUGUAGAGUUCUAUAUGUGUGGCGAACCUUCUCAAAGAGAAGAAAAAAAUAGUUAAAACUUCAAUUUCAAAAGAUUAAAUAAUAUUUUGUAGGAGUUGUGUUACUUACAUGUUUUCUGAUGAGAUUGGGACAUCCAAAAGGGCAACCUUGCUGCUGUCAGAUUCAUUGAUAAGAGCAGCACAAAUAUCAUAACCAUGUUUAAUAAGAUAAGCUUCUUAGAGUAAGCCAUUUUAAUUUCAAAGGAAAAAGGUAUUCCCAAAUUGCUGCAAUGUGUUAGGGUUCAAUGGAAUGUAGCAUAUAUUUAUACUAUACACACGAAGACAG
rnacentral:lncRNA from 1 species